ACUUUCAACAACGGAUCUCUUGGUUCUGGCAUCGAUGAAAAACGCAGCAAAAUGCGAUAAGUAAUGUGAAUUGCAGAAUUCAGUGAAUCAUCGAAUCUUUGAACGCACAUUGCGCCCGCCAGUAUUCUGGCGGGCAUGCCUGUUCGAGCGUCAUUUCA
rnacentral:rRNA from 2 species